GGAAGGGUGGCCGAGUUGGUUAUGGCGCCAGGUUAAGGUCAGCUUAACAUCUGUUUCCUGGUGGGGCAACCCGCGCGAGUUCGAGUCUCGUCCCUUCCA
rnacentral:tRNA from 1 species